UUGAUGUUUAACAAAAGUAAAGUUUACAUUUUGUCAAAGUUAAAACAGACAAAAACCACAAAUAGCACAAAAUGUUAUAAUUUCACAAUAUUAGUGGUUACAUCUUUUAUGAGGGUUCACUACAGUGGAUAUUACUUUUUGAUUUGACUGAUUUUUUAAGCCCUGGUUUGGAGCUGGGAUGAGACAAAAUACCUUUGGUGUAUAUGAGGGAUUUAGUAUAAAAAAAUCUACCAAAUCACACAAGCUGAGCAAUGGACUGUUGUGAUCUCAUGUGAAUAAAUGAGCAGCCAGUUUAUUAGUAUUUAUUUAUUUUUUGUGACAACAGUGGAGAAAUAAAUGCAUUAUGUGAGUUAUAGAUUAAAAAUAUGUUUUCACAUGGUGAAUAAAUGUAUUGUUUAAUUUUACAGGUUAAAUGGAAAGCAGAAUGAUUGUUGAAUGGCUUAUAUCUACGUUCUUGAUUUUAAUGGGUAAGAUGGUGGCAUAUACAAACACAGCAACAAUCAUCCCUGUGAUAUUCCUGUGAUUUUCUGAUCAUUUACAUCUAUCACCUAUACAGGAACAAUGUCCAUGUUUACGCCAAUGACAAUUACAGGAGCUGCAACCACAACCACAGGAGCUCCAAUAACAACAACAGCUACAACAACAACUACUCCUUCCACAACUACCACCACAGCUACAACUACCACAGUAGUACCCACAACAACAUCUGCUCCAACAACUACCACAGCACCUCCAACAACUGCUACUACUCCUCUAAGUAGUCCCACAUCUGCUCUAACAAUCACAACAGCAGGAACACCGACCACAUCUGUAGCCACAACCACUGGACCUUUGACAAUUAGAUAUGUUGUUUUCAGAUCCAUUCAAAGCAAUUUUACAGCAGACUUGUUGAAUUCAUCAUCUGAAGCUUUUAAAAGUCGAUGUUCAUCAAUAAAGGCGCAGAUUGAACCUGCUUACAGAAAGGCGUUCCCUUCUUCCUUUGUCUCCUUGGCCGUUGUGAGCUUCAGGCAGGGAUCAGUCAUCAACACCAUAGAACUUCAGUUUGUAAACUCAUCUGUUCUAAAUGACACUGAGAUUAGAAGUGUUUUGAUCAGUACAGCCUCAAAUGUGACAGGCUUUGACAUCGAAACGACCUCUGUCACUGUCAGUGACACAUGUGAGUAA
rnacentral:lncRNA from 1 species